rnacentral:rRNA from 1 species
UAAUACGUAGGGGGCCAGCGUUGUCCGGAUUUACUGGGCGUAAAGCGCGCGUAGGCGGAACGUUAAGUCCGGUCUGAAAGCCCCCGGCUCAACCGGGGAGGGUGGCUGGAAACUGGCGUUCUUGAGGGUGAGAGAGGUCGGUGGAAUUCCUGGUGUAGCGGUGAAAUGCGUAGAGAUCAGGAGGAACACCCAUGGCGAAGGCAGCCGACUGGCUCAUCCCUGACGCUGAGGUGCGAAAGCGUGGGGAGCGAACGGGAUUAGAUACCCCGGUAGUCCACGCCGUAAACGAUGGUCACUAGGUGUGUGCGGUAUCGACCCCGCACGUGCCGGCGCUAACGCACUAAGUGACCCGCCUGGGGAGUACGGCCGCAAGGUUG